GUCAAGUCAUCAUGGCCUUUAUGCCCAGGGCUACACACGUGCUACAAUGGGGAGGACAAAGGGUUGCGACCUGGUGACAGGGAGCCAAUCUCAAAAACCUUCUCUCAGUUCGGAUUGUAGUCUGCAACUCGACUACAUGAAGCUGGAAUCGCUAGUAAUCGCAGAUCAGCCAUGCUGCGGUGAAUACGUUCCCGGACCUU
rnacentral:rRNA from 1 species